GUCAUUCUUACUAGAGAUAACCUUAUUAAGUGGAAUUGACAUGGAAGUAAGCAAUGUGUCUUUUGUCCGCAUGAUGAGACAAUAAAACAUUUGUUCUUCCAAUGUAAAUUGGCUCGUUCUAUAUGGUCAGUCAUUCAAAUAGCUUCUGGCUUGUAUCCUCCUUGUAGUGUUGCUAAUAUAUUUGGCAACUGGGUACAUGGGAUUGAUCACAGGUUUAGAAUUCUUCUCAGGGUGGGAGCACUUGCCGUGAUUUGGUCGCUUUAG
rnacentral:rRNA from 1 species